rnacentral:rRNA from 1 species
UACGUAGGUGGCAAGCGUUGUCCGGAUUUACUGGGCGUAAAGGGCGUGCAGGCGGUUUGUUAAGUGCAGGGUGAAAGCUCCCGGCUCAACUGGGAGAGGUCCUUGCAUACUGGCAGACUUGAGGGAGGCAGAGGGAAGUGGAAUUCCCGGUGUAGUGGUGAUAUGCGUAGAUAUCGGGAGGAACACCUGUGGCGAAGGCGGCUUUCUGGGCCUUACCUGACGCUGAGACGCGAAAGCGUGGGGAGCAAACAGG